rnacentral:rRNA from 2 species
UGGGGAAUAUUGCGCAAUGGGCGAAAGCCUGACGCAGCGACGCCGCGUGAGGGAUGAAGGUCUUCGGAUCGUAAACCUCUGUCAAGAGGGAAGAACAAGCAACGUGCUAAUCAGCGUUGCCCUGACGGUACCUCUAGAGGAAGCACCGGCUAACUCCGUGCCAGCAGCCGCGGUAAUACGGAGGGUGCAAGCGUUAAUCGGAAUUACUGGGCGUAAAGCGCAUGUAGGCUGUAUGUUAAGUUGGGGGUGAAAUCCCACGGCUCAACCGUGGAACUGCCCUCAAAACUGGCAAACUAGAGUGUGAGAGAGGAUGGCGGAAUUCCAGGUGUAGGAGUGAAAUCCGUAGAUAUCUGGAAGAACAUCAGUGGCGAAGGCGGCCAUCUGGCUCAUAACUGACGCUGAGAUGCGAAAGCGUGGGUAGCAAACAGG